rnacentral:lncRNA from 1 species
UUAACCUUUAAGAUUUUUUCUCUAAUUAAAUUUCUGGUGGAUUUUGUCUCAGCUGGUCGUGUAAUAAAGAGGCCAAAGCAAGAAGACCGUCAGAGGCUGCAGGAGGCAGCAAUCCAGCUGCUGGAGCAGAACCAGAACAUCUGCAGUCUGUUCAGGGAGUUGGGGAAGCCAAAUCAGUGCAAUAUUUUAAGUUCUCAAAAUGAAGAAGCGAAACGGGACGAGUCUGGCAGUAUCUCCUCUGUUGUUGCUGGGUCACUGCUUGGGAGUGAGCUCCGGUGUCAAGCCAAACUGCUGGGUGUCCCUGUGACGGUGCUGUCUGUAAAAUCAGUGUUGGAAAGACUGAUGGAGAUCACCGAAGAGAAAAAGGAGGAAGAGGACGAGGACAGAGAGAUGCUCACAAUCUCUCAGAGAGUUCAGGUGGGUUUUCUGUUGGAGUCCAGCAGGGAGCUGCUUUCCCAGGGGAUCCUCUGCCCCAAACUGCUCUGGCAGGAGUUCAGGAGGGAUCAGGUGUGCAUACUCAGAUGGUCAUGCAUCAUAAAAAUGAGUCAAAAAGUAGAAGAAUAAUAUAAAUGAACAA